AAGAUUUUAUGUUACAAUUGAAAUGUCGUUUCGCGACUAUGGUGAUAAACGAUUUGCGGAAUAGGCUUUAUGGACCAGGGGGCGGUACCCUGCGCCUCCACCAUUUAUGGGGGCGAAAUAGGUUCGACAUGGGGCAAUAAAGGCUUAUUUUUCACUCGGCAUUGUACCGUCGUUAUCGGGCUAAUUUUAAUAAAUGCCAACAGAAAUAGAAGGCAAAAAGUCGCAGCCAAUCUUAACAGAAAGGCUGUUGCGAAGAAGCGUGCUUAAUCUGCCCGUGAUGGGAUUUUAAGUAAAUUUCUUGGCAUGCUGUCCUUAAUUGGGCAGUAGACUAUAGCGGAUUGGGGGAUCCGGGCAACAGAAUUCCCCCA
rnacentral:tmRNA from 1 species